rnacentral:rRNA from 1 species
GUGCCAGCAGCCGCGGUAAGACGAGCCACCCGAACGUUAUUCGGAAUUACUGGGCUUAAAGGGUGCGUAGGCGGUGUAGCAAGUCGGGAGUGAAAUACCCCAGCUUAACUGAGGAAUUGCUUUCGAUACUGCUGCGCUUGAGUGAGACAGAGGUAAGCGGAACUUAGGGUGGAGCGGUGAAAUGCGUUGAUAUCCUAAGGAACACCGGUGGCGAAGGCGGCUUACUGGGUCUCAACUGACGCUGAGGCACGAAAGCUAGGGUAGCAAACGGGAUUAGAUACCCCCGUAGUCC